CCUACGGGUGGCAGCAGUGAGGAAUAUUGGUCAAUGGACGAGAGUCUGAACCAGCCAAGUAGCGUGAAGGAUGACUGCCCUAUGGGUUGUAAACUUCUUUUAUAUGGGAAUAAAAUGUUCCACGUGUGGGAUUUUGUAUGUACCAUAUGAAUAAGGAUCGGCUAACUCCGUGCCAGCAGCCGCGGUAAUACGGAGGAUCCGAGCGUUAUCCGGAUUUAUUGGGUUGAAAGGGAGCGUAGGUGGAUUGUUAAGUCAGUUGUGAAAGUUUGCGGCUCAACCGUAAGAUUGCAGUUGAAACUGGCAGUCUUGAGUGCAGUAGAGGUGAGCGGAAUUCGUGGUGUAGCGGUGAAAUGCUUAGAUAUCACGAAGAACACCGAUUGCGAAGGCAGUUCACUGGACUGCAACUGACACUGAGGCUCGAAAGUGUGGGUAUCAAACAGGAUUAGAUACCCGGGUAGUC
rnacentral:rRNA from 1 species